GAUGAACGCUGGCGGCGUGCCUAAUACAUGCAAGUCGAGCGAACAGAUAAGGAGCUUGCUCCUUUGACGUUAGCGGCGGACGGGUGAGUAACACGUGGGUAACCUACCUAUAAGACUGGAAUAACUCCGGGAAACCGGGGCUAAUGCCGGAUAACAUGUUGAACCGCAUGGUUCUACAGUGAAAGGCGGCUUUGCUGUCACUUAUAGAUGGACCCGCGCCGUAUUAGCUAGUUGGUGAGGUAACGGCUCACCAAGGCAACGAUACGUAGCCGACCUGAGAGGGUGAUCGGCCACACUGGAACUGAGACACGGUCCAGACUCCUACGGGAGGCAGAAGUAGGGAAUCUUCCGCAAUGGGCGAAAGCCUGACGGAGCAACGCCGCGUGAGUGAUGAAGGUCUUCGGAUCGUAAAACUCUGUUAUUAGGGAAGAACAAAUGCGUAAGUAACUGUGCGCGUCUUGACGGUACCUAAUCAGAAAGCCACGGCUAACUACGUG
rnacentral:rRNA from 1 species